UCAGGAGAGGUAAGUGGAAUUCCUAGUGUAGCGGUGGAAUGCGUAGAUAUUAGGAGGAACACCAGGGCGAAGGCGACUUACUGGACUGUAACUGACGUUGAGGCUCGAAAGCGUGGGGAGCAAACAGGAUUAGAUACCCUGGUAGUCCACGCCCUAAACGAUGGAUACUAGACGAAGAGGGGUAAUACCUUCUGUGUCGUAGCUAACGCGAUAAGUAUCCCACCUGAGGAGUACGGCCGCAAGGUUGAAACUCAAAGAAAUUGACGGGGACCCGCACAAGCAGCGGAGCAUGUGGUUUAAUUCGACGCAACGCGAAAAACCUUACCAAGACUUGACAUCGUAUGCAUAGUCGUGAAAGUGAUGAAUCCCUUCGGGGCAUAUAGACAGGUGGUGCAUGGUUGUCGUCAGCUCGUGUCGUGAGAUGUUCGGUUAAGUCCGGCAACGAGCGCAACCCUUAUGUUCGGUUACCAAUAUUAAGUUAGGAACUCCGGACAGACUGCCGUGGCUAACACGGAGGAAGGUGGGGAUGACGUCAAAUCAUCAUGCCCCUUACGUCUUGGGCUACACACGUGCUACAAUGGAUGCUACAAAGAGCUGCGAACCUGUAAAGGUAAGCGAAUCUCAAAAAAACAUUCUCAGUUCGGAUUGUGGGCUGCAACUCGCCCACAUGAAGUCGGAGUUGCUAGUAAUCCCGAAUCAGCAUGUCGGGGUGAAUGCGUUCCCGGGUCUUGUACACACCGCCCGUCAAGCCAUGAGAGUUGGGGGUACCCGAAGUCGGUGGGCUAACCAGAAAGGAGGCAGCCGCCGAAGGUAAAACCAAUUNCANGGUAACANAU
rnacentral:rRNA from 1 species